UUCAAGUGAAGAGUUUGAUCCUGGCUCAGAUUGAACGCUGGCGGCGUGCCUAACACAUGCAAGUCGAGCGGUAACAGGUGUAGCAAUACAUGCUGACGAGCGGCGAACGGGUGAGUAAUGCUUCGGAAUCUGCCCAAUGGUGGGGAAUAACCAGCCGAAAGGUUGGCUAAUACCGCAUAAGUCCUACGGGAGAAAGCAGGGGAUCGCAAGACCUUGCGCCGAUGGAUGAGCCGAAGCCGGAUUAGCUAGUUGGUAGGGUAACGGCCUACCAAGGCGACGAUCCGUAGCUGGUCUGAGAGGACGA
rnacentral:rRNA from 1 species